UACGGAGGGUGCAAGCGUUAAUCGGAAUUACUGGGCGUAAAGCGCGCGUAGGCGGCUAUUUAAGUCGGAUGUGAAAGCCCCGGGCUCAACCUGGGAAUUGCAUUCGAUACUGAGUGGCUUGAGUAUGGGAGAGGACAGUGGAAUUCCAGGUGUAGCGGUGAAAUGCGUAGAGAUCUGGAGGAACAUCAGUGGCGAAGGCGACUGUCUGGCCCAAUACUGACGCUGAGGUGCGAAAGCGUGGGGAGCAAACAGG
rnacentral:rRNA from 1 species